rnacentral:rRNA from 1 species
UACGUAGGGUGCGAGCGUUGUCCGGAAUUAUUGGGCGUAAAGGGCUCGUAGGCGGUUUGUCGCGUCGGGAGUGAAAACCUCGGGCUUAACUCGGGGCUUGCUUUCGAUACGGGCAGACUAGAGGUAUGCAGGGGAGAACGGAAUUCCUGGUGUAGCGGUGAAAUGCGCAGAUAUCGGUAGGAACACCAGUGGCGAAGGCGGUCUCCUGGGGCAUUCUUGACGCUGAGGCGCGAAAGCUGGGGGAGCAAACGGGG